rnacentral:rRNA from 1 species
GACGAACGCUGGCGGCGUGCUUAACACAUGCAAGUCGAACGGAAAGGCCCUGCUUUUGUGGGGUGCUCGAGUGGCGAACGGGUGAGUAACACGUGAGUAACCUGCCCUUGACUUUGGGAUAACUUCAGGAAACUGGGGCUAAUACCGGAUAGGAGCUCCUGCUGCAUGGUGGGGGUUGGAAAGUUUCGGCGGUUGGGGAUGGACUCGCGGCUUAUCAGCUUGUUGGUGGGGUAGUGGCUUACCAAGGCUUUGACGGGUAGCCGGCCUGAGAGGGUGACCGGCAAUAUUGGAACUGAGAUAAGGGCGAGCCUCCGAGGGGAGGCAGAAGUGGGGAAUAUGGAAGAGUGGCCGAAACCCGGAAGCAGCAACGCCGCGGGCGGGAGGACGCCUUUGGGGGGAGAAACCGAUUGCGCCGGCGACGAAGGGUGGUUGAGGGUAAUGGGUAAAGAAGCCCGGGCUAACUACGUG